rnacentral:rRNA from 1 species
AUUGAGCGCUGGCGGCAGGCUUAACACAUGCAAGUCUAGCGAGCGGCGGACGGGUGCGUAAUGUCUGGGAAACUGCCUGAUGGAGGGGGAUAACUACUGGCAACGGUAUCUACUACCGCAUACCAUAAGAUGUGCCCAUAUGGGAUUAGCUAGUAGUUGGGGUAAUGGCUCACCUAGGCGACGAUCACUAGCUGGUCUGAGAGGAUGACCAGCCACACGGGAACUGAGACACGGUUCAGAAUCCCACGGGCGGCAGUAGUGGGCAAUAUUGCACAAUGGUCGCAAGCCUGAUGCAGCCAUGCCGCGUGUUUGAAGAAGGCCUUCGGGUUGUAAAGCACUUGCAGCGAGGAGGCGGUACUCGCAGAAGAAGCACCGGCUAACUCCGUGCCAGCAGCCGCGGUAAUAC